CAGGAUGAACGCUGGCGGCGUGCCUAAUACAUGCAAGUCGAACGCUUCACAUAUGUGAAGAGUGGCGAACGGGUGAGUAAUACAUAAGUAACCUGGCCUUUACAGGGGGAUAACUGUUGGAAACGAUAGCUAAGACCGCAUAGGUGUGAUAACCGCAUGGAGAUGACAUGAAAUAUGCUACGGCAUAGGUAGAGGAUGGACUUAUGGCGCAUUAGCUAGUUGGAGGGGUAACGGCCCACCAAGGCGACGAUGCGUAGCCGACCUGAGAGGGUGACCGGCCACACUGGGACUGAGACACGGCCCAGACUCCUACGGGAGGCAGCAGUAGGGAAUUUUCGGCAAUGGACGGAAGUCUGACCGAGCAACGCCGCGUGAAUGAUGAAGUAUUUCGGUAUGUAAAGUUCUUUUAUUUGGGAAGAAAAAACAAAUUGACGGUACCAAAUGAAUAAGCCACGGCUAACUACGUGCCAGCAGCCGCGGUAAUACGUAGGUGGCGAGCGUUAUCCGGAAUUAUUGGGCGUAAAGAGGGAGCAGGCGGCACUAAGGGUCUGUGGUGAAAGAUCGAAGCUUAACUUCGGUAAGCCAUGGAAACCGUAGAGCUAGAGUGUGUGAGAGGAUCGUGGAAUUCCAUGUGUAGCGGUGAAAUGCGUAGAUAUAUGGAGGAACACCAGUGGCGAAGGCGACGAUCUGGCGCAUAACUGACGCUCAGUCCCGAAAGCGUGGGGAGCAAAUAGGAUUAGAUACCCUAGUAGUCCACGCCGUAAACGAUGAGUACUAAGUGUUGGGAGUCAAAUCUCAGUGCUGCAGUUAACGCAAUAAGUACUCCGCCUGAGU
rnacentral:rRNA from 1 species